rnacentral:ribozyme from 14 species
GAGAAGUGGAACGAAAAUCAUUCAUUGGGAUUGAUUUUCCGUUGUUUGUUUGUUUAUUUGUUUUUUUUUGUGACUCAUGGAUCAUUUAUUUACCAAAAUACAGGUACGACGAAUGACUGUAUUUCAAA